rnacentral:lncRNA from 1 species
CAACAGCCCCUGCUGGAGGCUCCAAUGCUCUUCCUGGGAUCAACUGCUCCUAGAAGAGAAGCAGGACCCUCUGUCACCCCCAACCCCACCUUGACUGUCACCAAAGAAGAAGCCAGAGAAGGGAGCCCCCCACUACUGUGGCCUAGGAGCUUGGAAGACAAUGCUGAGACAGACAUCUGAGCUGUGGGCUCCCCAAAUCUGCCAGCAAAGGACUCUCAAGGAUGGAUCAGGAAUAGAAGCUCCGGAGCCCGGGACAUAGGAACAGCUCUACUUUCCCUUUCAUUUCAUUCAAUAAAACCCAAAAGAAACUCCUUCCUCCCCCUCCUCCGAGGGGAAUCCAAAAGAUAAAGAUGGCAGGGAACCAAUGACAGAUCAGUCAAUCACAUAAUCUUAAAAGGCACUUCUGCAGUCCCACCCCAACCCCACGCACCAACACCAGAACCCUAGCAUGGAAUAUAAGCCUGAUCCCCCACACCCGGUCUUAGAACCGUGACCCAACCUGGAGCCUGAGGCCAACCCCUGCAGACAAGGACUCAGUGACCAAGGAGCUGCAAACAACCCAGCCAAGCAGGGAGCAGACUUAGAGGACACCACACUCCCCUCCCCUCCCUGAUGCCAAAGAAGCAUGGUACUCAGACAUUUUAAGGGAGGGCAUUUUCUGGGGCAUCAGGGGUUAAAGGGUUGUCAGUCCUGACUGCUGAGGCCCAGAGUACCCCCCACCUCUGGACUUCUAGGCAGACUUUGUGUGAGCA